UACAGAGGGUGCAAGCGUUAAUCGGAAUACUGGCGUAAAGCGUGCGCAGACGGUUGCGUAAGUCAGAUGUGAAAGCCCCGGGCUCAACCUGGGAAUUGCAUUUGAGACUGCGUAGCUAGGGUGCGGAAGAGGGAAGCGGAAUUUCCGGUGUAGCGGUGAAAUGCGUAGAUAUCGGGAGGAACAUCCGUGGCGAAGGCGACUAUCUGGACCAGCACUGACACUGAGGCACGAAAAGCGUGGGGGAGCAAAACAGGAUUUAGAUACCCUAGU
rnacentral:rRNA from 1 species